GUCCCGUUCGUCUAGCGGUCAGGACAUCGCCCUCUCACGGCGAAAACAGGGGUUCGAUUCCCCUACGGGAUACCA
rnacentral:tRNA from 1 species